UACGGAGGGUCCGAGCGUUAUCCGGAAUCACUGGGUUUAAAGGGUGCGUAGGCGGCGUACUAAGUCAGGGGUGAAAUGCCGGGGCUCAACCCCGGAACUGCCCUUGAAACUGGAAUGCUUGAAACAGGUUGAGGUAGGCGGAAUGUGACAUGUAGCGGUGAAAUGCUUAGAUAUGUCAUGGAACACCGAUUGCGUAGGCAGCCUACUGGGCCUUGUUUGACGCUGAGGCACGAAAGCGUGGGGAGCGAACAGG
rnacentral:rRNA from 1 species